rnacentral:rRNA from 1 species
UAGCGCAGUUUGCCUGGCGGCACUAGUCCCACCUGACCCCAUGCCGAACUCAGAAGUGAAACGCCGUAGCGCCGAUGGUAGUGUGGGGUCUCCCCAUGUGAGAGUAGGGAACUGUACCCC